rnacentral:antisense_RNA from 1 species
GAGACCAUUAUGCUAAUGCAGCAGGGCUACCAGCCAGUUUCAGAUAAUGAUGUCAACCUCGGCCAUCAAGAAGUAACCUUGUCUCCACUAGACAGAGCAGGUUGCGGGAAUUUAGCCAAUUCAGAGGUCUUGUUCUCCAUAAUCUGGAACUUUCCUUCAGAUUUGAUCAAGUUGGAUAAAGUUGGUCAAACCCAAUGGGAAAAAGAUGAAAACAACAAGAAACAGAAACAAACAACAACAACAACAACAAAACAAUGCAUUUAAUUAAAUGAAGAUGAGCUCAUGCUGGAGUAGGGUGGACUCUGAACCCAGUAGGACAAGCGUCCUUGUUAAGAAGAGGGAAAUCUGAACACACACAGAGCAGAGACUGCGGUGUGAAGAUGGAGGCAGAGAUUAGAGAGAUGCUGCUACAUGCCACAAAUGCCUGGGGCUCCCAGAAACUACACGGAGCCUCCCCCAGCGGCUUCAGCAGGAGCAUGGCUCAGCCAACACUUUGAUCUUGGCCUUCCAGCCUCCAGAACGGUGAGUCGUUUUCCUAAAAUUCCCUUUUCCACUUGUGUGUGGUGCAAGAUGAGGCACAUUUUCCAUGGAUGGUGAACAGAGGGAGGAGCCUCUUGAUCACAACCAGGUCACCCCACUUCUAAGCCACUGUGCCUCCAGCCCCACAAGACUAAGGAGAGAGAGCGCAGAGUGGUGGAGAGUGAGCUGUGCUGGGACCGUUGUUUCUGUAACCUCAUUUUCUGUGUCCAGCUGACACACCUUCAAAGCGGCGUCAGGUCCUAAACUGUAGCUUGCGACGUGCCUGUUUCCAGAAACAAAGGUGAAAGUGCUUUUAGACAGUGUUCCCAUGCAAGAGUCCCUUCCCAGCUGUUCUCUGGAAAUGCAUGUUUCUCUGAACUCUGAGUCCCAAGAAAAAUCAUUUGAGACAUCAAGAAAAUGGGGGAAGUGCUAAAAUUGUGUGGGAAUUCAAGCUUAACAAUAAACAUCAAGACAUUUUUGGUAAAAAUGAAUCCACUGACAUCAGGGAGGAGCAAGAGAACAGCACUCUGACACUGGGUCAGAGGCUAAGACCGACAUUUCUGGGAACCACUCCCAGA